CUCAUCUUCUUAUAUCACAAUGGCUAGUUGUCUGCCAAAAUGUGUGCUUCCCCUUAGAGACCUGAGCUGUCACUGGAAGCAGCCACCUAGACAAGGACUCGAAUGCUAACUGGUGGAAGGAAAGUGGGCAGACGUCCUGUGUGGCAUUCUCUGGUCAGGAUUUAAGAAGCAGCUAAAAGCAGGUGACAGUGAGAUCUAGAUGGCAGAGCCACAAAGGAGCAAAAAGCAACACCUGGCUUCCUGAAUCACCCAAUGGAAGAAAGUCACCCACAGUCCAGGGACACCCACACUGGCUUGUGAUGAAUUACAAGGAAAAAUUAUUUUUUAUAUAGCGUGGUCUGGAAGACUUCUCUGAAAAGGUGACUUCAGCUGUGACUAAAAGUUAAAAUAUUUGCAGGUAAAAGAGGAAGAAAAUGUGUUCAUGUGCUCAAGUGCUGUGGCAGGAAAAGAAAUUGAAAGAACAAUGCCAAUGCAAGAACAUUCAAACCUACAGAAAAUUUUCUAAGAGUUUUUUUGAACCAAUCUGAGGACAUAUCCAGAAGCAAGAUCUCAAAAUGCUCCAGAAAAUGGCAGUUUUGCAGUUCUUUUUUAUACUUUUGCAGUUUUUUGGAAUCAAAGGAGGAACCAUAAAGGAAGAUUAUGAAAACCCAUUGGUGGUAGAUUAAGGAGGGGGAAAAAGCAAGGCAGGGAAAGCCCUAUGAUUGGAUAAAAAGGAAAAUGGAGAGAUAUACUUCUUUUACAUUUGGUGGGUACUGGCUAGUUAACAUUUAACAUUUACAUUGAACAGGCAUGGUAUACUGGCAAUAAGAUCAUGUGCUCCUUGAGGUGGUUAUGCCUCUGAGGGGUCUGAAAAAGAGGAUUAUCCAGCCAUUUGAAAGGUAUGUUAAACUAGAUGCAUAAGAACAGCGGAUAGGGCUGUUUAAAGCAAAGAUUAACCUUUUACUACAGAAGUU